CCAACAACAAAAUCAAAUGGAGUAGUAAUUACAAAGCCCAAUAUAAUAUUUUCACUACCUAGGGUUAAAAUAGAAAUGUCUAAGAAUCUACCACCGCCUCUCCCUGCUUUCUCCUCAAAUCAACCGCAGCCUCCAUCUUCGGCUUGGUUUAUGUCCUUAUUAACUGAUCAUGUCGAAUGAAGACUCCAUUAAAAAUAGCGAAUGAAGAAAAAGAAUUAGGAAAAAAGCAGUCGGAGUGGACUCACCGCCAUUUCCGCCGUACAUCAUCAGGCAGCCCUUUGCAAAGAUCUGCAUCAAGACUGAUUUGGACCUUUCUGCCUUUCAUUUCACAUCGAUCAAGUUGGAGCCUGGAGGUGCACAUGGAUGAAUACGCUUUUCACACUUUCCAAGAUUUCAGCAAAAGUAUUUAAUGGUGUAUUUGUAAAUCUGUUUUGCAACCAUCAGUUAAUACGUAAUGUGUAAAAAAAUACUAUAUUUUUCCCGCCCAAAGUAUGCCACGUGUCUGCCAAAAAACUGCGCUUGUCUAUAGGAAUUUUGGAUUCACGGAAUCACGGUGGUGUGGUUAAUGACAGCCCUACAGACUAUGAGGAUGAAUGUACCCAACUGAUCCAAAGACAACGUUGCUCCAAGGCAAGGACCGCGCGGAAACUACAUUGAGCGCUUUGGCUGUAUCAUCCAAGCAUAUCCGUCGAUCAUGAAAGGUUUAUUGUGUAUGUAGUACUAAUCAUGAACAUUCGAUUUUUUGUAUGCAUGGAUUAUCUCCAUAAGAAUAAGUUAGUAGCCGAAGAUGAAGGAGAACAAGUAAAUUGAUUCCAAAAUCCA